rnacentral:piRNA from 1 species
UAAUGACCAUUAGUUGUUAGGAGCAGGUGU